CAGAUAGAGGUGCGGUUGAAAAGAGUAGCACGGUCUGUCAUGCGGUAUUCCGCGGACUAAGUUUCCCAAGCCGAAUGACCGAUGUGAAAGGUAAAACUGCCGAAGCUGCGAUGUGGGGUAUCGUUUGCUGACUGAUGGUUUAAUAGGUCAUCGGUUGUCAUCAUGACUUUAUGAUGGAGUGCUAUCGG
rnacentral:ncRNA from 1 species